rfam:Erwinia carotovora subsp. atroseptica SCRI1043, complete genome
CUUUAACAAUCUGGAACAAGCUGAAAAUUGAAACAUGACAGCUGAACAUGCAUGACUGCCUUCGGGCGGGUCGUGAUGAGUCAGUGUGUCAAUGAGUCUCUCAAAUAAUCGCAGCGCGAUGAUGAAUCGAAAGAAACAUCUUCGG